rnacentral:lncRNA from 1 species
CUGCGCAGGCCAGGGCUGUGUUAUGGGUCGUAAAGCGGUCCUAAAGAUAAGCAGCGGUCCAUAGGUUCCUCUGCGGUCCAGAGGUUAGUGAUAGCAGGGUAAGACCUAGCUGGCAUAGGGAGCGGGUUCAACCAUUGUGGUUCUGGCGGAGCUGAAGACAGCAUCGGUCCGGUCCCGGACCCAACGGUCUGCUGCUGCCCAGCCAACAUAGCCGACCAACAGGAGGCCAGGUAAGCUGUCAUAUGACCCGAUUCAACAGAGUUCACUUGACCUCUUCCUUUUAGCUCAUUAUGGAGUAACUGCCAUCCUUCAACCAAUAGACAGGCUCAAUUACUCAAUACUAUUGCGACUGUUACUGUGUUUUCAACAGGGAUCACAUUAGGCGAUACACACAAGAUACGCUGGAAGAAAAGAAAGGUAGUAGGCUAAUUCAGAGAAGGGUUCUUGGUCUUAGAGACAGUAGGGCUGUUUGGGGGCUUCCUUUUAUGCCUUUCUGAAAAGAACAGGCGUAAACUCCUCACAGACCGACUUCAGACACUAUGAUAGAGUACAGUAUAUUGUUGUAGUAGUGCAUUAUUGCACGGCAUGUGUCAGACAUACAGUCCAGACACACAGACAGAGAGUGACUGAGUAAGUUUAGAGAGUUGCUGGGUGUUAAUUGAGGUACUUGAUCUGAAUCCAAUAGUGUCUGAUGCUGCGAGCUGACAGACUAAAAGGGUUGUGAAAUCAACAUCACACACACACACACACACACACACACACACACACACACACACACACACACACACACACACACACACACACACACACACACACACACACACACACACACACACACACACACACACACACACACACACACACACUGUAGUUACCCUGCAAUUAACAAGCUGUGUCUGGGCAACCCGAUACACACUGACUAAGUACAGAGGGGGGAGGAAGCGAAAGAAAGAGAGGAAGAGAAGAGGGGACAAGAGAGGUAGGGUAGAGAGUGAGUGGUAAAGGGAGAGAAAGAAAGAGAGGAAGAGAAGAGGGGACAAGAGAGGUAGGGUAGGGAGUGAGUGGUAAAGGGAGAGAAAGAAAGAGAGGAAGAGAAGAGGGGACAAGAGAGGUAGGGUAGGGAGUGAGUGGUAAAGGGAGAGAAAGAAAGAGAGGAAGAGAAGAGGGGACAAGAGAGGUAGGGUAGGGAGUGAGUGGUAAAGGGAGAGAAAGAAAGAGAGGAAGAGAAGAGGGGAUAAGAGAGGUAGGGUAGAGAGUGAGUGGUAAAGGGAGAGAAAGGGGGAAGAAGGGUUGGUGACCUGGGUAACCUGGUUCUUCUAUCGUCUUCUCUCACACUUUCUCCUUCCACUUCUUUUUACUUGUCCUCUCAUCUUCCUUUCUCCCCUCCUGUCCUCUCUUCUCUUUCCCCUCUAUUUCCCACUGUCCUCCACUCUCUCCUUUCUAUUCAUCUCAUCUUUCACCUCCUCUCUCCUCCUCCUCUCCUCCCUCUCCUUAACUCUUGCAGGUGUUAUCUCUCUCUUAAGCGGAGGCAAUUACCCGUCGACCUCAUAAAUAAUUAAUCUGAUAGGCUCGUUAAUUAUUAAUGUUAAUUGCUGAUUUAGGUUUCCUUCAACACAAAAAGACACAAGGGAGGGGAGAAUGCCAACAACUCUAAGGUCAAAGAGUCUCUCACACACACACACACACACACACACACACACACACACACACACACACACACACACACACACACACACACACACACACACACACACACACACACACACACACACACACACACACACACACACAGGGUUAGAUGAAGGUGACAGCGGUAGGGUUCAGGGUAAGGGUUAGAUGAAGUUGGUAGGGUUCAGGGUUGGGUAAGAUGAAGGUGGUAGGGUUGAGGGUUGGGGUUAGAUGAAGGUGGUAGGGUUCAGGGUUAGGGUAAGAUGAAGGUGGUAGGGUUCAAGGUUAGGGUUAGAUGAAGGUGACAGUGCUAGGGUUCAGGGUUAGGGUUAGAUGUAGGUGACAGUGGUAGGGUUCAGGGUAAGGGUUAGAUGAAGGUGGUAGGGUUCAGGGUUAGGGCUAGAUGAAGGUGCUAGGGUUCAGGGUUAGGGUUAGAUGAAGGUGCUAGGGUUCAGGGUAAGGGUUAGAUGAAGGUGGUAGGGUUUAGGGUAAGGGUUAGAUGAAGGUGGUAGGGUUCAGGGUUAGAUGAAGGUGCUAGGGUUCAGGGUAAGGGUUAGAUGAAGGUGGUAGGGUUCAGGGUUAGGGUUAGAUGAAGUUGGUAGGGUUCAGGGUUAGGGUUAGAUGAAGGUGGUAGUGUUCAGGGUAAGGGUUAGAUGAAGGUGCUAGGGUUCAGGGUUAGGGUAAGAUGAAGGUGGAAGGGUUCAGGGUUAGGGUUAGAUGAAGGUGCUAGGGUUCAGGGUUAGGGUUAGAUGAAGGUGGUAGGGUUCAGGGUUAGGGUUAGAUGAAGGUGCUAGGGUUUAGGGUAAGGGUUAGAUGAAGGUGGUAGGGUUCAGGGUUAGGGUUAGAUGAAGGUGCUAGGGUUCAGGGUUAGAUGAAGGUGCUAGGGUUCAGGGUUCAGGGUUAGAUGAAGGUGCUAGGGUUCAGGGUUCAGGGUUAGAUGAAGGUGCUAGGGUUCAGGGUUAGGGUUAGAUGAAGGUGCUAGGGUUCAGGGUUAGGGUUAGAUGAAGGUGCUAGGGUUCAGGGUUAGAUGAAGGUGGUAGGGUUCAGGGUUAGGGUUAGAUGAAGGUGCUAGGGUUCAGGGUUAGAUGAAGGUGGUAGGGUUCAGGGUUAGGGUUAGAUGAAGGUGGUAGGGUUCAGGGUUAGAUGAAGGUGGUAGGGUUCAGGGUUAGGGUUAGAUGAAGGUGCUAGGGUUCAGGGUUAGAUGAAGGUGGUAGGGUUCAGGGUUAGGGUUAGAUGAAGGUGGUAGGGUUCAGGGUUAGAUGAAGGUGGUAGGGUUCAGGGUUAGGGUUAGAUGAAGGUGCUAGGGUUCAGGGUUAGAUGAAGGUGCUAGGGUUUAGGGUAAGGGUUAGAUGAAGGUGGUAGGGUUCAGGGUAAGGGUUAGAUGAAGGUGGUAGGGUUCAGGGUUAGGGUUAGAUGAAGGUGGUAGGGUUCAGGGUUAGGGUUAGAUGAAGGUGGUAGGGUUCAGGGUUAGGGUUAGAUGAAGGUGACAGUGGUAAGGUUAAGGCUGUUGGGGAUAUGAUGAGUUAAAAGCCUCUAGCCAAGAAUCCAUGACAGAUUAGCUCAUGUACUUAACGUUGAUCAAUAAACUUGAUAGUGUCGAAAUGAACAGUGUAAUGGAUGGGCGUGAGCUGGCACUAACAGAUAUCUGUGUGUGGUACAAUGACACGAUUCAGGGACAUUAGGAAAUGCUUAUUGUAAAAACCAAUGAAAACUGAAACCUUUUCAUAUGGAUAGCUGUUCCCUAGCCCAAAUCAUGAUGUCACUGCACUAAGUUUGGACUUUGCACUUGAAGCUUUAUCUUUUAUCUUUGAGUUGUACUUGAAGUUCUAUUGAGUCAAGACUCACCCACUGACGUGUCUGUUUGCCUGUCUGCCUGUCCGUCUGUCUUUCUAGAAAGCCUGGAGGAGAUUUUUCUUUAAUGGAUGAGGGAAGGGACCGUUCUCUCCAGAGGAGUUGCUUGGAUGGACAAGACGGAGACAUAAAGGUGAUUGGAGGGAUUAGAGAAAGAGAGCUUCUGAUUGGAGAAAGAGAUUCUGACCUCCCGCCUUCAGUAACAAGGAUUCAUCCUGUUGUUGUAUUCUGAACUAGCAGGGAAUCUCUGUUACUGGGGGUGAGGGUUCCGUCACACACACGAAGACUCACACACAGACACACACCUUUGUUAUUUUACUGCUUACACUUCUCCUGUACUGUCCUAUGUAUGUACUGUAUCUAAUUUGAUUAAAGAUGUGAGAAGAUGUUCUUGACUUCUGGGGUCUGUAUUAUUAACUAGACUAUGUUUGUGUGAGGAAUUGCUUGACUCAGUGUUAAGGUUUUGCAGGGAGACAAUAUUGACUCAGUGUAGAGGUUUUGAAGGGAGACAGUAUUGACUCAGUGUAGAGGUUUUGAAGGGAGACAGUAUUGACUCAGUGUAGAGGUUUUGAAGGGAGACAGUAUUGACUCAUUGUAGAGGUUUUGCAGGGAGACAGUAUUGACUCAUUGUAGAGGUUUUGCGGGAGACAGUAUUGACUCAUUGUAGAGGUUUUGCAGGGAGACAGUAUUGACUCAGUGUAGAGGUUUUGCAGGGAGACAGUAUUGACUCAGUGUAGAGGUUUUGCGGGGAGACAGUAUUGACUCAGUGUCACGGGUGUCGUUGUGUAGCGAUGACCAAAACGCAGCGGGAAUGUGAAUGCUCAUCUUUAUAUUUAUUAAGUAAAGAGAACACGGAAAAACAACAAAACAAAGAACGACAGAUAACAGUUUAGCAGGCUAACAAUAAGCAGUGCAAAAUCAACUACCCACAAAAACCCCAGGUGAAAACAAGCUCCUAAUAUAUGACUCCCAAUCAGGAACAACGACGUACAGCUGUUCCUGAUCGGGAGCCACACAGACAACAAAGAAAUAGACAAACCAGAAAACCAUAGAAAACCAAAACCAGAACAUAUACUAAAACCCCGGAAUACAUAAACCAAACACCCCUUUAAUACUACACACACAACCCGAACCAUAUGAAACAAAUACUCUUCUGCCACGUCCUGACCAAACUACAAUACAAAUACUCCCUCUACUGGUCAGGACGUGACACUCAGUGUAGAGGUUUUGCAGGGAGACAGUAUUGACUCAGUGUAGAGGUUUUGCAGGGAGACAGUAUUGACUCAGUGUAGAGGUUUUGCAGGGAGACAGUAUUGACUCAGUUAAGAUGUUUUGCAGGGAGACAGUAUUGACUCAGUGUAGAGGUUUUUCAGUAAGACAGUAUUGACUCAGUUAAGAUGUUUUGCAGGGAGACAGUAUUGACUCAGUUAAGAUGUUUUGCAGGGAGACAGUAUUGACUCAGUGUAGAGGUUUUGCAGGGAGACAGUAUUGACUCAGUGUAGAGGUUUUGCAGGGAGACAGUAUUGACUCAGUGUAGAGGUUUUUCAGUUAGACAGUAUUGACUCAGUUAAGAUGUUUUGCAGGGAGACAGUAUUGCAAUUUUCCUGUGUGUGUAUUUACAUUUCCC